rnacentral:rRNA from 1 species
GACUAACGCUGGCGGCGUGCCUAACACAUGCAAGUCGAGCGAGAAAGGGGGGCAACUCCUGAGUACAGCGGCGUACGGGUGAGUAACACGUGGGUAAUCUACCUCUUAGUGGGGAAUAACGAUGGGAAACCGGCGCUAAUACCGCAUAAGCCUGAGAAGGGAAAGCAGCAAUGCGCUGAGAGAGGAGCCCGCGGCCGAUUAGCUAGUUGGUGAGGUAACGGCCCACCAAGGCAAAGAUCGGUAGCCGGCCUGGGAGGGCACACGGCCACACUGGAACUGAAACACGGGCCAGACUCGUACGGGAGGCAGCAGUGGGGAGUCUUGCACAAUGGGGGAAACCGUGAUGCAGCGACGCCGCGUGAGCGAUGAAGCCCUUCGGGGUGUAAAGCGCUUUCGGCAGGGAAGAUAAUGACGGUACCUGCAGAAGCAGCUGCGGCUAACUACGUGCCAGCCGCCGCCGUAAAAC